UACGUAGGGACCAAGCGUUGUCCGGAAUCAUUGGGCGUAAAGAGCGUGUAGGCGGCCAGACAGGUCCGUUGUGAAAACUCGAGGCUCAACCUCGAGACGCCGAUGGAAACCGUCUGGCUAGAGUCCGGAAGAGGAGAGUGGAAUUCCCGGUGUAGCGGUGAAAUGCGCAGAUAUCGGGAAGAACACCCGUGGCUAAGGCGGCUCUCUAGUACGGUACUGACGCUGAGACGCGAAAGCGUGGGGAGCGAACAGG
rnacentral:rRNA from 1 species